UACGAAGGGGGCUAGCGUUGCUCGGAAUCACUGGGCGUAAAGGGUGCGUAGGCGGGUCUUUAAGUCAGGGGUGAAAUCCUGGAGCUCAACUCCAGAACUGCCCUUGAUACUGAGGAUCUUGAGUUCGGGAGAGGUGAGUGGAACUGCGAGUGUAGAGGUGAAAUUCGUAGAUAUUCGCAAGAACACCAGUGGCGAAGGCGGCUCACUGGCCCGGAACUGACGCUGAGGCGCGAAAGCGUGGGGAGCAAACAGG
rnacentral:rRNA from 1 species